UGUGAGAAGGCCUUCGGGUUGUAAAGCACUUUCAGUCGUGAGGAAGGUAGUGUAGUUAAUAGCUGCAUUAUUUGACGUUAGCGACAGAAGAAGCACCGGCUAACUCCGUGCCAGCAGCCGCGGUAAUACGGAGGGUGCGAGCGUUAAUCGGAAUUACUGGGCGUAAAGCGCAUGCAGGUGGUUUGUUAAGUCAGAUGUGAAAGCCCGGGGCUCAACCUCGGAAUUGCAUUUGAAACUGGCAGACUAGAGUACUGUAGAGGGGGGUAGAAUUUCAGGUGUAGCGGUGAAAUGCGUAGAGAUCUGAAGGAAUACCGGUGGCGAAGGCGGCCCCCUGGACAGAUACUGACACUCAGAUGCGAAAGCGUGGGGAGCAAACAGGAUUAGAUACCCUGGUAGUCCACGCCGUAAACGAUGUCUACUUGGAGGUUGUGGCCUUGAGCCGUGGCUUUCGGAGCUAACGCGUUAAGUAGACCGCCUGGGGAGUACGGUCGCAAGAUUAAAACUCAAAUGAAUUGACGGGGGCCCGCACAAGCGGUGGAGCAUGUGGUUUAAUUCGAUGCAACGCGAAGAACCUUACCUACUCUUGACAUCCAGAGAACUUUCCAGAGAUGGAUUGGUGCCUUCGGGAACUCUGAGACAGGUGCUGCAUGGCUGUCGUCAGCUCGUGUUGUGAAAUGUUUGGGUUAAGUCCCGCAACGAGCGCAACCCUUAUCCUUGUUUGCCAGCGAGUAAUGUCGGGAACUCCAGGGAGACUGCCGGUGAUAAACCGGAGGAAGGUGGGGACGACGUCAAGUCAUCAUGGCCCUUACGAGUAGGGCUACACACGUGCUACAAUGGGCGCCAUACAG
rnacentral:rRNA from 1 species